GGGCCCGCACAAGCGGAGGAACAUGUGGUUUAAUUCGAUGAUACGCGAGGAACCUUACCCGGGCUUGAAAUGUGAGCGAAGUUACCCGAAAGGGUGAUGCCCUGCAAAGGCGCUCAUGUAGGUGCUGCAUGGUUGUCGUCAGCUCGUGCCGUGAGGUGUCGGCUUAAGUGCCAUAACGAGCGCAACCCACAUUGCCGGUUACUAACGGGUAAAGCCGAGGACUCCGUCGAGACUGCCGGCGCAAGCCGCGAGGAAGGUGUGGAUGACGUCAAAUCAGCACGGCCCUUACGUCCGGGGCGACACACGUGUUACAAUGGGGGGUACAGCGGGCAGCCACUUGGCGACAAGGCGCGAAUCCCGAAAGCCCCUCCCAGUUCGGAUCGGAGGCUGCAACCCGCCUCCGUGAAGCUGGAUUCGGCUAGUAAUCGCGCAUCAGCCAUGGCG
rnacentral:rRNA from 1 species